CCUUUCAUCCCUGGACAUUCCUCCUGUUUGCAUUCUGAUACAGACAUCAGGAGUACAUGAAGAGUAAUUGACAACUGCUUGGAGCCCACCUAACUUGCCUUUUAAAGAAACUCAAUAACCAGACCUGGAACCCACAUCCAGGUAGGCUGAGCUGAGAAAGGGAGAGACUGGCUCAAAAUCAGCCAGCUGGCUCUCCAGGCUAUGGCAGGACUAGAACUCGCAAUCUCCCAGUUUCUAGGCCAGCACUUUAACACCUACGCCGAGCUGGGUGUAGUUUUUUUGACAGGUAAGGGCAAAUCAAAUUAAUGGUUGUGUUUCUGAAAGCAUACGGUACCCACCAAUCCUUUGGAAAGAGGAAUAAGCCUCUUAGUGUUCAUCUUGAUUUGUAAAACUCUUCCUCCUCGGAAUCAAGACUUACUUAGUGUAAGGAACGACAAUGUCAACUCUAUGAAAACUGACGCGACCAGCUUUUAAAAGAAAUGUACGUGUGUAGAAGAAGGGCGAUGGGGAAAGAGUGGGGGAGGGCAAAAUCUGUCACUGACUUCUUGGUUAAAGUAUUUUCUUGUUCUUACUCGUGUUCUUAUGUCACUGAGCUAAAAAGAGAGAGAAGAGGGGAGAGGAGAGGGAGAGAGAGAGAGAGGGAGAGAGAGAGAGAUAUGACUCUCCUUGAAUGAUCUGUUUAACCUAAGCCAGAGGAAAAAAAAAAGGCAUUAAUUACUUAUGUGAGCUAUUGCUUCUGAAAGACAAUAAACCUGCCCUGUCGCCAUGGAUAUGACAUAUUUGCUCUGAAAACAACACAAUAAUUAGCAAAGGGGAAAGAUACAAGGGGAAUAUGCAAACUCCUGGGUUUAAAGCCACAGUGUUUCUUUUCUGAUGCCAUACUGGGGUUUUGUGUAUGUGUCUGUUUUGGUUUUUUUUUCACUUGUCCGUCCAGUUUGCAAUUCAAAUUUUAAAAGGGGAAGAAAAAAAAGAAGAAGAAGAAGAAGAAAAGGAUGGAACAAGAAGCCACCCUGAAAGAUUGAUUUUAAAAAAAGAAGAGGAGGGGGGAAAAAAAAAACAUUUGAACUCUAAGAAAGCAUCAAUACAGGAGGGGAGGAAGGGAGGGGGAAGAGCACAACACACAAGAGAAUUAAUAAGAUUAAAGGCAAUCAAGGAUGCGGAUUUCAUCAGACAAGUCAGGUUUAUUUUGCCUUAUUUUGAAGUCUGUUUAGGGCUGUUUUGGCUAGAGCAAUCUGAACAUAUGAGCGUAUACUGUGGCUACGUUGCUAAAAUUGGGAGGGGGCAGAAGAAUAUUGGGAAAUAGGUCCAAAACUGUUGCAAAGGGGGAACUGGGGGAUAAUUCUGCGAAGCUAAUUGGAAAAGGAGCAGUCAUAUUUUUAAACCUAUCACUUUGCCUUGCCUGUCAAGGGACAAUGCCACCCGCUUGGGCCCCAACUAGAUACAUCACUAUAGCUGGGAAGCUCUAAAACAAAAGUUUCCAUCGGUCUUAAAUUGGAUCUGGACGAACACGUCCCAUGACUGUCCAGUGAAAUCAUGAAAUGAGCCUUAAAAUGUGGAAAAGGG